UGAGGUGCUCUCUGGAUGUUUUUUCUCAUGAAAAAACCUAGUUUUGAUCUGAGUAGCAAGUGCAUUUGCAAAGGCAUUGUUACAGAAAAGUGGCUAACUUGGAGCUAUACUACCUGAGUGUAUGUUUAUUGUUGAUGAAUGAUAAGUACGGACCAAGGAGCAGGUAGAGAAACAGGAAUUGUGAGAAGUCAUUGACCAAUUAAGCAUGGAAAACUGACGCUUCAAUUUGCUGCUGGAUGGAGACCACUGCCAGAUCAUUAGUGGUUCAUCUAUAUCAUGAAAAGGAUAGUACUGAUUGAGGGGUGGACUCAAUCAAAUUGUAUCUUUCCUGCAGCAAUGGCGAUGGCGACUGAUAUUGGUGAGCCAGGACAAUUUGGCGACGCUAUCUUCUUGACCUGGUAUGCUAAUUUCCUUCCACGUUAUUUCACUUACUGUAUACUGUUACAAGGCAGGUUGCACACGACUCAACCAGCUUUUCUGGAUCAUUGCAGUCUGCUGCAACCCAUCAAAGUAUUAUGUCAAAAACUUCUACAUGAGAGUUCUCAACACCUGCGCUCAGCACUCAUCGUGGCAUAGUUCCCAAUCUAUUCCACAUGUCACCAAGAUACAAGCCGCCUCCAUCGACCAUGUCCAUGCCUGUCAAUGAAACUCUUGGGUCAAAAUUCACCACCACCAUGGCUUUUCUUCAGGCUCAAUAAACCAGGCACCGUCUGUUCUCUAUAUAUUUCAGCAAGGCCAAUCCACCAUCCAGUUGCAUGAUUCAGGAAUGACGAAACAAGAAGAUCUGGGACUCAAAACACGGCGAUUUUCCACGGCAUCAACACAGAAGAAAAUUUACACACAACUAUGACCUCCAUUCCUCUUCCUCACCAUCUGGGUUCACCAUUUCGUGUGAACGUGUAAUCCGGUGGCUUGGUCAUAUCAUAUCACGUGCAGACGUGCUGCUGUAACUCGUUGACAAAUGCACAAAGGGUUAGGAUUUUGGGCAGCAAUUAUGUUAAUAUAGCCCAGUGUCUUCUUGACCCGGAGAAUUAAUGGUUGUGAUGAUGGGAGAGAACAUCUUUGUUUA